AUAGUUGGAAAACGGCUCAAUUGUGCGGCUUUAGUUCGUGUUCGUGUUAGUUGCGGGCACUGGAUCAAAGUUAAUACUUCGUGUGUGUCUAUCCGAAAAUAAAACCAGAAGCCGUGUCAAACUGAUUCCGCUGAGCCAUAAAUAAAGUUAGUGGUGCAUCAGUAAAAAAAAACGGAUUCUAAUUAUGAACCAGAA